CCAAUUUGUACAGUAUUAGGCAUUAUUACCCUGGAGUCAUUAUUUAAGGUUUUUGAAGCUCGCACAGAUAUGAUAUAAAUUGUUGAAGUCAAGAUUCUCAAACAUCUGGUAUUAACCAUGAAAGGGGACUAUAAAAGACAAAGGCACAUUUGUGAUCAUUCUCAGUAGUCUUUUUAUGUAAGGUAAUUACCAAAAUAAUCUACAGACAUGGCUGUGAUUAUUAAUGGAAAUUAUGGCUUAAAAACUACUGUGUAAUGUACUCGCGCAAGUCAGAUAGGG